UACGGAGGGUGCAAGCGUUAUCCGGAUUCACUGGGUUUAAAGGGUGCGUAGGUGGGCUAGUAAGUCCGUGGUGAAAUCUCUGAGCUUAACUUGGAAACUGCCGUUGAUACUAUCAAUCUUGAAUAUUGUGGAGGUAAGCGGAAUAUGUCAUGUAGCGGUGAAAUGCUUAGAUAUGACAUAGAACACCGAUAGCGAAGGCAGCUUGCUACACAAUAAUUGACGCUGAGGCACGAAAGCGUGGGGAUCAAACAGG
rnacentral:rRNA from 1 species